rnacentral:lncRNA from 1 species
AGUGCACUCAAUAGUGUUAGUUUGAAUCAGCACAGACACCUUUACCCUAUCCUCCCACAAUAUUCAGUGUGUGUGUUAAUGUGGUUUUAUGAAGUGUCUGUCAGAGGUUCCUUGUGGAGAUGACCCACACGUUCUGCAUGAGUCACACUGCUCAGGCUCAUGCACACACACACACAUACACACACGUACUGUACACAGUACACACCAAGCAGACAGCGAGCAGUCCUCUGUGCCACAGAAACCUCAUUAUCUGCGUCUCAUGCGGCACCCUAUCCCCCGAUGUGAUUCUGGUCAAAAGUAGUGCACUACAUAGGGAAUAGGGUGUCGUGAGGUUUGCACAUUGUCUCUUUUUCUGCACUACUGUGUCACCCUGUAACCCGUCUGUUGUACGGUUCCUAUUAGUUUUACCACUUCCCUUCACUCCACAUCUGUAGAUAGCUGUAAAUAGCAAUUAGAGUGAUAUAGCUGGAGGUGGAUAGAGGAUUUAGAAAUGUUAGGGAAUGGAGACAUCAUGGCCCCCUUUGCCCUCCUCAAAGGAUUGUGGGUAGUGUGGUUCUCUUAGGAGUGAAAAGAUAGAGCUGCCAACUGUGAUUCCACAGAACGUUAUUAUAAUCAGAGAAGGGAUGGGCCCUGAGGAAGAUCUCUCACCUCAUUGGUUGAACACCUGGGGGACUGGCCAGAGCCCAAAUGGGCAGAGUCCUCCAGAAAUGAACCAAUGAGAGGGUUUCUUUUUUCACGUGUGUAGUUUAGAGUGCUGGAUCCUGUCUUGAGAUCCACACACAAAACUAGACUUUCCUCACAAAUAUAUCAAUAACAUGAUUUACGUGAAAGUCUGAUUUUGUUGUAUGUCAAGUUAGGAAUGGGUUCAGAGAGCAUUCCUAUAAUGACUCAUGAAUGGACAAAGAGGCUGCUGUAUGGCUGAAUCAAAACCAAGAUAGAAACACACAGAACAGAGCUGAUAUGAUUCUAGAAUAGAUUAUACAAGCCAGAUAGUUGUCUGUUCUACGUAGUUUCUACCUGAAAAAGACCCUACAGCCUUUCACUGAUUGUAGUUAAUCAGAAACAUGUUCUAUAAACUCAAGCCUACCAAGGAUGCAGUUUGUAAUUUUUGCAUCCCCCUAGAUCAUACUAUCAGCCCAGAAACAACUCCUAGCCCCUAGCAGUUCAAAUACCUGAAGGGACUGGAUAGAGGACAAGGUUAACUAUUAGGCUUUGGGGAACUUCCACCAUAUUGUUUACGCUUGUCUGCUCUGCCAAACACAAAACGUGGAAGUGCCUCCAAGUUGUUUCUGGACCGGGCCUCUGAGGGGUGCAAUGACUUCUGGGCAGUGUAGUUCUACUAACCUCCAUCUCUGUCCUUCCCUCCCUGCAUGGCCCCAAUAAGUGUUCCUCCCAGCCAGCAUGAGAACCAAUAAGGACGCAAACUGUGAAAUUAACAUAUUUGUAUUUUAUUAUUAUAAUUCUUCUGCAUUAAUAAUGUCUUUGGUUUGAAAAGUGUAACUGUUUUUAAUCUCUUAUUGUUUUUGUAAACAUGUUUUUUGUUUGGACAUUUUUUUUAACAUAAUGAUCAUGUAUAGACAUUUUAUUAUUUUAUUUUUAAUAUAGUUAUUAUUAGAAUUAUUCUAGCUAUUUAUUCUAGCAAUAGUCUUCCUACUAUAAUGUACUGUGG